GACUUCUUCCUUGCCAAAGAAACCAAGCCCUCUGCCAGGGACUGAGCCAAUCAGUGCUCAGUCCCAGACCUCCCUUCCCAGGGGAGGGUAAAUGAGCAGCCUGAGUCCAGCAGCUUUUUGAGCUCCUGGGUAUCGUGGUGUCAGACACACAGAAAAAAGAGGACAUGAUCAAUAGAUGGAAGAGAAAAUAUUUAAAAGCGUAUGUUAUGAGAAUCCACAGCCUACAGAAGUCGUUGGUACAGAGUUUGAGGCCAGACUGUCUGAUUUGAAUGUAGCUCCUCCAUUGACUACAGGCAAUUGAGACUUUCCAACACAGCGGCCCCAUAGACUGGGAAACUGUUGGGGUUGUUGAGAGCCUAGUUUACAGAAUUAAUAUUUGUAAGUUCCAGAGCGAAAACAUUUGUCCUGAAAGGAAGCUCAGCAGUCAAGUCUGGUAAGGUUCAGGUUGCAAUUCAUUCCAGGAAAAAGUUAUCAGAAUUCACCCAGGUCAGAGGCUUCCAUCCAAGCUACUCUAUGGCUGGCCAUAAAAUUACCGACAUAUUCCUUUGUGGUUGGGAAUCUGUUGCUAGCAACAGAAGAUGAAGAAUUUCCAUGCUGAAUGCACAGAAUACCCAAGACUAUGACCAAUGAAGUACAGAGGUUUUGGCUAGACCAUGGCUUGGGAUGCUAUGAAAGCCACGACCAUGGCUUCAAUAUUUCUUCACUUCUAGAGAGAGAGUCCUCACACUGCUUCACCUCACAGCAGGAAGCAGAAAGGCAGAUUAAGAUCUUGAACUUUCAACACCUUCUCUAGUACCAUGACUGCCUGCAUGCCCCUAUGUUUCCUGCUGUGAUGAUAAUGGAGUAAACCUCUGAAACUGUAAGUAAGCCCCAAAUAAAUGUUUUCCUUUAUAAGAGUUCCAUUAGACAGGAUGUCUCUCCAUGGCAAUAAAAUCUUAACUAAGAUACCUCCCAUGUUUUCUUCUAAGAGUUUUACAGAUUUAGCUCUUACAUUGAGGCCUUUGAUAUAUUUU
rnacentral:sRNA from 1 species